GUCCUCCGCAUUGGAACCUCGAUUGCAGUCGGCUCUGGCGCUACCUUGUUUUGGUUUGAUCGCUGGGCCGGCGACUACCCCGUCGCCACACAUUUCCCAGACCUGUUCGCCAUCGCGGUCGAACCUGGGAUCUCUGUUGAGGUGGACCUUAUUCACUUAGGGCACCUUGCGUUCCGGAGGCCGUUCGGACCGAUGGAGGCUGGCACAUGGCAAGACCUCCUCGACUACAUUGCGCUGCACGAACCUGCUUUGGAGUAGGCGAGUGACCAACUCUCGUGGCGUCUUGAGCCCUCGAGAAAAUUUUCCACUAAAUCCCUCUACCAAGCGAUCACGAUAUCUCCGGGUCAUGAGCCUCUUGUAGCAAUCUGGGAGAUUCGGCUCCCGUUGAAGAUUAAGAUCUUCCUGUGGCAAUGGAUCCGCGGCAGCCUUCCCUCCGGCGUGGAGGUGCGCAAAUGCAACGGCCCCGAUGGUGGGUUGUGUCCGCUCUACAGGACGGAGGAAGACUCGAACCACAUCAUCUUCUCCUGUGUGUCCGUGCAGUUCCUCUGGAGUUGUUUCCGCGAAGUGGUGGGUGGAAGUUGGUGUCAUAACAACUUCCCCACUCUCUUCGCCGAACUCCAGGCCCUACCACCCACGGUUCGCCACAUUAGGUGGCUGACCAUUCGGGUGCUUGCCUGGACGCUGUGCACGGUUCGGAAUAAGCUUGUGAUUCAGCAUAUACCUCUGUGA
rnacentral:rRNA from 1 species